UACGUAGGUGGCAAGCGUUGUCCGGAUUUACUGGGCGUAAAGAGCGCGCAGGCGGUCGAUCAAGUCGAGUGUGAAAGCCCCCGGCUCAACUGGGGAGGGUCAUUCGAUACUGAUCGACUCGAAGGCAGGAGAGGGUAGUGGAAUUCCCGGUGUAGUGGUGAAAUGCGUAGAUAUCUGGAGGAACACCGGUGGCGAAGGCGGCAUCCUGGACCGGUAUUGACACUGAGGCGCGAAAGCCAGGGGAGCAAACGGG
rnacentral:rRNA from 1 species